UACGAAGGGGCUAGCGUUGCUCGGAAUCACUGGGCGUAAAGGGUGCGUAGGCGGGUCUUUAAGUCAGGGGUGAAAUCCUGGAGCUCAACUCCAGAACUGCCUUUGAUACUGAAGAUCUUGAGUUCGGGAGAGGUGAGUGGGAACUGCGAGUGUAGAGGUGAAAUUCGUAGAUAUUCGCAAGAACACCAGUGGCGAAGGCGGC
rnacentral:rRNA from 1 species